CGCGUAGGCGGUUUGUUUAGUUAGGCGUGAAAUUCCUGGGCUUAACCUGGGGACUGCGCUUAGUACAGGCAGACUUGAGUUCGGAAGAGGGUCGUGGAAUUCCCAGUGUAGAGGUGAAAUUCGUAGAUAUUGGGAAGAACACCGGUGGCGAAGGCGGCGACCUGGUCCGAUACUGACGCUGAGGCGCGAAAGCGUGGGGAGCAAACA
rnacentral:rRNA from 1 species